CAUGGUGAGUAAUCUUGAUUCCUGAAGUGUUUUUCUGUGUCUCUUUUGUCAGAUGGGUGUUGUUUCUGUUUUGUAGAGGCAAGCUGAUCCUGAAAAGAAACGACCACACAGAUCAAAGGUUUAUUUAGCAACUCACAAGAAGAAGGACGAUGCUAAUGCUAAAAAUAAAGAUAGAAACAAGUGCCUGGAUCGAUUGGAGAAUCUAAUAACUGAACGACCAGAGUUGGCACAAAAUUUGAAUGGAAGAGUCGCAUGGGAAGGUGAUGCCCUGCAGGAAGUGUUAGGGAAAGAAAAGAUUGGACAAGUGCAUGGCAUGGGUUUGCUUCCAACUCCUAAGCAAGUCUACGGUUGGACGCCACGGUAUCUAAAGAACAUCAAUAUGACCACAACUGAUGGAUCACCAUAUGAAGUUGAACAUGAUGUUUGGGAGGAAAUAGCAAAGAUGAAGGAGCAUAUAAAAAAGCAAGACCAGAUUAUUAAAGAUAUGAAUAACAAAGAAGGCUAUGUCAAUAAUGGCAUAGAAGAGGAAAACCUCCAAUCAAAUGAUAAUGGUAUUUCUCGGUUACCAGUACUGCUUGGUAAAACAAAGGUAAUGUUAAUAAAGGCCUACAUCAUUGCUUGUCACUUGAAACCUUCAUAUUAAUAUUUCAGUUUGCAGAGAAUCCAAUGCAAUGGACCUGUUGAGGCACGCUCGUCUAUGCAACAUGACAUUCCUGAGGAUAAUAAUUUAUCAUGUUCGCAUGAAAAGGUUGGCGACCAUGAUGUCAACCAAUUACAAAUUCAACAAAAUUCAUCAUCACCACAAGACCUUGUUAUUGAUUAUGUGCUAGAGGU